rnacentral:rRNA from 1 species
GAUGAACGCUGGCGGCGUGCCUAAUACAUGCAAGUCGAGCGAACGGACGAGAAGCUUGCUUCUCUGAUGUUAGCGGCGGACGGGUGAGUAACACGUGGAUAACCUACCUAUAAGACUGGGAUAACUUCGGGAAACCGGAGCUAAUACCGGAUAAUAUUUUGAACCGCAUGGUUCAAAAGUUAAAGACGGUCUUGCUGUCACUUAUAGAUGGAUCCGCGCUGCAUUAGCUAGUUGGUAAGGUAACGGCUUACCAAGGCAACGAUGCAUAGCCGACCUGAGAGGGUGAUCGGCCACACUGGAACUGAGACACGGUCCAGACUCCUACGGGAGGCAGCAGUAGGGAAUAUUCCGCAAAGGGCGAAAGCCUGACGGAGCAACGCCGCGUGAGUGAUGAAGGUCUUCGGAUCGUAAAACUCUGUUAUUAGGGAAGAACAUAUGUGUAAGUAACUGUGCACAUCUUGACGGUACCUAAUCAGAAAGCCACGGCUAACUACGUG